UAGGCUACCUUACGCCACUACUGCCUGGUCAUGGCUCGGUUCAAUGACAUUUCCUUCAAAAGGCACCUGCACAGAGGGCAUCAGCUUUCAGCGGGGCAUCCAACCGUUCAACUACAUGUGGGAGGUUGGUGUCGGACCUGACCUGGCUAUGCAUCCUAGGUACAUUAUGCUCUAUGAAAACCAGUGACCAUGGACGUUUCUCUCCACCACCAGAUACAUCUGAGAGGUCAGCCAAGACGCUGGAAGUUCAGCAUGCCUCUACCAAACGCUGCCUCGUCACAACUACUGAGCUGAUCUGCGAGACUAGUGUCUUCCACAGAAGGGGUGAAGACUGA
rnacentral:lncRNA from 1 species